GACAGAGGGUGCAAACGUUGUUCGGAAUUACUGGGCGUAAAGCGAGUGUAGGCUGUCUGCUAAGUCGGGUGUGAAAGCCCUGGGCUCAACCCAGGAAGUGCACUCGAAACUGGCGGGCUAGAGUAUCGGAGAGGUUGGUGGAAUUCUCGGUGUAGAGGUGAAAUUCGUAGAUAUCGAGAGGAACACCGGUGGCGAAGGCGGCCAACUGGACGAAUACUGACGCUGAGACUCGAAAGCGUGGGGAGCAAACAGG
rnacentral:rRNA from 1 species